rnacentral:lncRNA from 7 species
AAAUGCGUAUUUUUUGGAUACAUGGGGGAACUCUUGUGCAAAAAAGUUUGAUUUUGGGGUCAAACGGGGGAUUUUUGAAGAGCAGAAGUGUGAUUUUCACGUUAAAUGGGGGAUUUUCCACAAGAAAAUGUGUGAAUUUGGGGGAUAAUGGGGUAUUUUUGAAGAGAUAAUGCAUGAUUUGGGGUAAAUGCGGGAUUUAGAAGAGAAAA